AGAUAAGUCGAAACAAAGUAGAAAAACCUUCAGGUUUUUCUAAAGGCGAUUAGAAUUUUCACUUACAAUGAAAAAUACCCUUUAGGGCGCUUUUAUAUUGGUAAAUAUUUAAUAAAGAGUAAGAAACUUUAGUGUGUGUACCUUUUGUAUCAGGGGAAGUUAAAAGUGUAAGUAAUAAAGGAUCGAUUUAAGCAGAGCUUUAUACAAAAUAGCUAUAGUUAAAUUUAUAGCUUUAAUAGAUUACGUGGUGAAAAAUGUACGGUGCUUAUGGUAGCUAUUUGUUUUUUUAUUGAAGGGUAAGCUUUCAUCGACUUAAUUGUGUAAAAGGUAUAGGGAAUUAGGCUUUGUAUUAGCCAGAUUAUUAAAUUGUUUUAAAUAACCUAAUAGUGUAAGAUAAAUCUUAAGGUUAAAAGACUCGGCCUAUUAAUUUGGAUAGGUCUGAAUAAUGAGUUCAUUGAAUAUAGGAUGAAAUACUUAAAUAACUCAAAGUAAGUUAGAAUGUUUAGCAAAAACAUUUUCUUUUGGUGUAAGUAAGAUAAGACCUGCCCGGUGAUUUUUAACGGCUGCGGUAUUUUGACUGUGCUAAGGUAGCAUAAUCAUUU
rnacentral:rRNA from 1 species